AUAUGAAAGAAACCAAAUUGUAUACAGUAAAACUUUAAAGUGGGAAAGAGAUAGGGUGGUGAGAUACGGUUAGUGUUCUAAAAUCUUGAAAUAUAUACACUGACAGUCACUGUACAGGUUUUAUAUCAGUGGUUAAUAUAUGUUUAUGGGACUAGCAUUGCACUAUCUCCUGAAAAGGGAAUAUAGCGUUGAAUACAAACUAUAAAAACCCAAUCACAUUUCAAUUUAACAAUUGGACCUUGAUGAGUAAUAUGCAUACAAAAUACUAAACUGUUUCAUUACAUAUUUUAUGUCUGGACCUUUGACGUUGCAAUAAAAUAGGUUCGGGUGAGGUAAAAGUUUUUUCCAGCAUUCCACCGGUGGGGUAGCUAGAAAUUCUGUUUCGGGAAAGGUGGGGUAAUGAUUUUUUUUGGCGGCAUUAUACUUUCUCUUCGGCCCCCACCCCUGCCAUAAAUAAUGACCGGUCCCUUAACAAUUUGGGGGGGGGGGCUGAAGCCCCCAGCCCCCCACUUCCUACGCCUCUGGCCUCUGCAUUCCUGGUCCUUAACCUUGCCUAAAAGCAAAUUGGAUUUACUUUUUCAUGAAGAAUGUUUCAAAAAUAGAAUGAUUGACAAAUAUUUCCCCAAUGGGCAUAUUCUUAUGUAAUGUCUAAUAAAAUGAUCAUUAAUUAAUUAAUUUUUGAAAUGAAGGAUUUGUAUUGCAGUUCUUAUAUGUCAUAUUAAAUUCAGGAACACAAAAUCAUUUUGCCUAAGAGAGACAUGAUUACAAUAAUAAUCAUAAUACAUUAGUAUAAUGAUAAUGCUGCAGUUUGAUUGGUUGAGAGGAGUUCGAUUUUGAGCUUGUAAAUGCCCCAAUUGUUAGCCAAUCAGACUGAAGUUCUACAUGAAGAGACACAAGCAGCUUUCUACAAUUUUUAUUUUAUUUGGACAUGAAAGUUUGAAGUACUAUGUGUGCAUGUGACAAUGUCCAGAAUGGGCCAUUCCAUUAAUAUAGGCACCCCGCUGAUAUUGAGGGAUCACCUUUUAACCACCUUAGGAUAUAAAAAUCGUAGGGUCAACCCCUCUUUGAUGGAAAUAGUUGUGCCCUCCUAGGAUAUCACCACUAUAGCCCCUUAGGAUAUUGUUAAUGCACCAGUCAAUGUAAAUCCCUACCCCAUUUAACCUCGAG